GACCUCUCUGUCUUGGAUUAUUCCCACCAUUCACCUGUGGAGCCUUCUAGAAUAACUUACUCAGGUGACUUACCCACAGUGGUGUGCUGAUCAGCUCUCAGAAGUGGUGGCGACCUCUGAUUUGUUGAUUUCCAUGAUGUAAAUACACCCACCAUGGCUGAUUGUAAGCUACCAUUGUGACUUCACUGAACAUGGGUUGGGAAGAGAUGUGCCCACUUAGCCCUCAUGAACCAUACAAGCCAGCUCCACCACACAACCACUUAUACAUAACUUCAUGCAACACCAGUGACAGCCACCCCUAACACAGACUGCCCAGGACCUGCUGACAUCUGCACACCCACAGCAUGAGCUUCUCCUGCUCUGCGUCCAGAAUGCUGACUCGUACACAGCCUGCGAGCAGGAGUGGUGAUCUUGGUGGAAGAAAAUGGAGCAUGCUGUCAGCAGCCAGCCAUACUGGGUCAUCAGCCAAGAGACAGACACGGACCAGGUCUUUUUCUUAAUUAAAAAAAUUGUUUUUAACCACUUUAUUGAGGCCUGAUUAACAUGUAAAAAGCUGUACAUAGUUAAUGAAUACAAUUUGAUGAAU
rnacentral:lncRNA from 1 species